GAGUUAGAAGGAAAAAAAAAAAAAGACAGAGAGAUGAGACAGACAGAGAGAGAUGAGAGAUUGCUUGAGGAAGGAAGAAGAAGAUACCGGUCUUUUCUCUUCUCAUCUCAACUCUUCCUCUGGUCCUCUCCAUUCUUUUUCUGAAACACGACAGAGAGAUGAAAGAUAAGAGAUGAGUCAGAGGGAUGAGAGAUUGAGAUUACAGGAGGAAAAAUAAAAGACCGGUCUGAGUUCGUCACCGCCGUCACCUCCCGAGAACGCCUCUCCCCUCUGCAGCAGAAUUCGAACCAACGGUACCCAGAACAACAACCCAUCACCGCUCAAAGACAACGACGAUCUGUCACAGAGAAGCUUGAGUGAUAACGACUACAACGAAAUGGUGGUGGUGGUGUACGGAGAGAAGAUAUAUAUCUCAGUUUGGUCGGCGUGAAUCCUCUUUGGUCUCUUCAGCUUCGUGAAGAACAGAUGGAGGCUCGCCGGUCCCAAAUAACUGGUAUCAAUCUUCCUCUUCGCUUAUGAUUCUGUUUCUUGCUGAAAUAUUUUGGGGCUGUUGAUUUGUUGAUUUCUCUCAUGGUCCCAAUGACUGAGUAUUUCAGUGUGCGGUGAAGGAAGCUUCACUUAGGUCUUCUCAGUGAUCUUAAAUGCUUUCCGUUGACAAUGCCAUGUUUCCUUAGCUAGGAAAGUUAACUGGAACCACGACCACGACAAGAAGCAGAUGCUUAAGUGAUGUGGAGGAGAUCACAUAAGAAGGAAGACAUAUGAGACAGAGAGAA